UACGAGGGGGGCGAGCGUUGUUCGGAAUUACUGGGCGUAAAGCGUGCGCAGGCGGCUUCUCAAGUCAGGGGUGAAAGCCCAGAGCUCAACUCUGGAAUUGCCUUUGAGACUGAGAGGCUUGAGUACGGGAGAGGUGAGUGGAAUUCCCAGUGUAGAGGUGAAAUUCGUAGAUAUUGGGAAGAACACCAGUGGCGAAGGCGGCUCACUGGACCGUAACUGACGCUCAUGCACGACAGCGUGGGGAUCAAACAGG
rnacentral:rRNA from 1 species